GACGAACGCUGGCGGCGUGCUUAACACAUGCAAGUCGAACGGAAAGGCCCUGCUUUUGUGGGGUGCUCGAGUGGCGAACGGGUGAGUAACACGUGAGUAACCUGCCCUUGACUUUGGGAUAACUUCAGGAAAAUGGGGCUAAUACCGGAUAGGAUAUCCUGCUGCAUGGGGGUGGUUGGAAAGUUUCGGCGGUUGGGGAUGGACUCGCGGGUUAUCAGCUUGUUUGUGGGGUAGGGGCUUACCAAGGCUUUGACGGGUAGGCGGCCUGGGAGGGUGACCGGCGACAUUGGGACUGAGGUACGGCCCAGACGCCUACGGGAGGCAGCAGGGGGGAAUAUUGCGCAAUGGGCCGAAGCCAGAUACAGCAACGCCGCGUGCGUGAUGACGGGCUUCGGGUUGUAAACCACUUUCGCAGGUAACAAAGCGGGAGUGACGGUAAUGGGUAAAGAAGCACCGGCUAACUACGUG
rnacentral:rRNA from 1 species